UGGGGAAUAUUGGACAAUGGGCGAAAGCCUGAUCCAGCCAUGCCGCGUGUGUGAAGAAGGUCUUCGGAUUGUAAAGCACUUUAAGUUGGGAGGAAGGGCAGUAAGUUAAUACCUUGCUGUUUUGACGUUACCAACAGACUAAGCACCGGCUAACUUCGUGCCAGCAGCCGCGGUAAUACGAAGGGUGCAAGCGUUAAUCGGGAUUACUGGGCGUAAAGCGCGCGUAGGUGGUUUGGUAAGAUGGAUGUGAAAUCCCCGGGCUCAACCUGGGAACUGCAUCCAUAACUGCCUGACUAGAGUACGGUAGAGGGUGGUGGAAUUUCCUGUGUAGCGGUGAAAUGCGUAGAUAUAGGAAGGAACACCAGUGGCGAAGGCGACCACCUGGACUGAUACUGACACUGAGGUGCGAAAGCGUGGGGAGCAAAC
rnacentral:rRNA from 1 species